UAUACAGGCCGCGUCGCGCACCGAAAGUUUGCGCUGUUUCGCACACAGCGAAGCUCUAGACCAGCUUUAUAUUCAUGAAAUAAUUACAGAACGAAUGCCAUUUGAUGAUUUGCUAAGGAAAUGCUUGUUAGCUAAGACGCGUCUCGGUUAGCGCAAAUCCGUGAAACGAUACAACUGAACGCUCGAUUACCAUUGACAACUGUGUAUACCUUUGUAGUGAAGUUACCGACCCUUUUGAGAUGCGCGCACCAAGUUAGGCCGGAUAGGGCGGUGCUUCUUUAGCGUCGCCGAUAAAUGCACAGCUAACCAGAGGAUAAUGUGCAUUUAUCAAGCGGCAUUUUUGUACACUCAAAAUUGUUUGUCUUUCUGUCUGACUGCAACCAGGCAGGCAGGCAGGCAAAUCCUAUAGAAGUCCUUUUCCCAACUUCAUCUGGAAUCAAGGCGCACGACCUGAACGUGCAUAUUUCUUAGCAAACUGUCGAGUAGAAUAAGACGUACGCAAGACAUAGUGAAAAAUACAGAGUGUAUUCUAUGUUCGCCCUCACACCGUGCUCAAGGAUCUUUCGUUGCGCAACAUACUUAUAAUCAGAAAAACCACUUACGCCACGUGAACUUACCACCAUAGUUGCCCCCUUCUCGAUUCCUAUGGGUGUCUACGCAGCUCCCUUCCGAGCACUAUCGAACGUUACAGUCUAUUUACUAAUAUAAUAGCACUCCUUAUUGCAAUUGAUAUUAAGUCGUUAUAGUAGGAAAGGUUCGCACUGUAACAGAUGCUAUGCUCCGUGCUUGUAAAAAACUGGUGAUGCCGUGGUCUGGUGUAAUGCAACUGCAAAGCUAAAAGCUCGCAUGGAUAAAUCCGAUUUCAAGCGAGCGAAUUCAAAUU